rnacentral:rRNA from 1 species
AACGAACGCUGGCGGCGCGUUUUAAGCAUGCAAGUCGAGCGGCAAGGGCCUUCGGGCCCCUAGAGCGGCGGACGGGUGAGUAACACGUGGACAAUCUGCCCCCCGGCCCGGGGAUAGCCCAGGGAAACCUGGAUUAAUACCGGAUGAGACGGGACCCGCGAUGGCGGGAUCCGGGAAAGGCGCUGCGGCGCCGCCGGGGGAUGAGUCUGCGUCCCAUUAGCUUGACGGCGGGGUAACGGCCCACCGUGGCGACGAUGGGUAGCCGGCCUGAGAGGGUGUACGGCCACAUUGGAACUGAGACACGGUCCAGACUCCUACGGGAGGCAGCAGCUAAGAAUCUUCCGCAAUGGGCGAAAGCCUGACGGAGCGACGCCGCGUGAACGAAGAAGGCCGUGAGGUUGUAAAGCUCUUUUCGGGAGGGGAACGACCGUGGCAGGGAAUGGCCGCGGGAUGACGUGAAUCCCGGAAUAAGCCCCGGCUAACUACGUG